CGGGGUAUGGUAAAAGUAGCGAAAAGCGCGUUCGGGACGCAGAGGCCGGAGGUUCGAAUCCUCUCACCCCGACCA
rnacentral:tRNA from 1 species